AACGAACGCUGGCGGCAGGCUUAACACAUGCAAGUCGAACGGGCAUAGCAAUAUGUCAGUGGCAGACGGGUGAGUAACGCGUGGGAAUAUGCCCUUUAGUUCGGAAUAACCAAGGGAAACUUUGGCUAAUACCGGAUAAGCCCGAGAGGGGAAAGAUUUAUCGCUGAAGGAGUAGCCCGCGUCUGAUUAGCUAGUUGGUGAGGUAAUGGCUCACCAAGGCGACGAUCAGUAGCUGGUCUGAUAGGAUGAUCAGCCACACUGGGACUGAGACACGGCCCAGACUCCUACGGGAGGCAGUAGUGGGGAAUAUUGGACAAUGGGGGCAACCCUGAUCCAGCCAUGCCGCGUGAGUGAUGAAGGCCUUAGGGUUGUAAAACUCUUUUAUCCGGGAAGAUAAUGACUGUACCGGAAGAAUAAGCCCCGGCUAACUUCGUGCCAGCCGCCGCCGUAA
rnacentral:rRNA from 1 species